AGAGUUUGAUCAUGGCUCAGAACGAACGUUGAUGGCGUGCCUCAUACAUGCAAGUCGAGCGGGUAGCAAUACCAGCGGCGCACGGGUGAGUAACACGUAAAGAAUCUGCCUUAAAGUGGGGAAUAACUAUCCCAACGGAUAGCUAAUACCGCAUAAGGAUGAGGGAGGCAUCUCCCUUUCUCGAAAGGCUUCGGCCGCUUUAGGAUGACUUUGCGUCCCAUUAGCUUGUUGGCGGUGUAACGGACCACCAAGGCGACGAUGGGUAUCCGGCCUGAGAGGGUGUACGGACACAUUGGGACUGAGAUACGGCCCAGACUCCUACGGGAGGCAGCAGUGGGGAAUCUUGCGCAAUGGGCGAAAGCCUGACGCAGCGACGCCGCGUGAGGGAAGAAGGCCUUCGGGUUGUAAACCUCUUUCAGGAGGGACGAAGCCACUCGGGUUAAUAGCCCAGAGGGUGACGGUACCUCCAGAAGAAGCCCCGGCUAACUACGUGCCAGCCGCCGCGGUAAUAC
rnacentral:rRNA from 1 species